CCAAACGCACCCUAGGUCUCCUGCGCCCGUCGCCGCCACAUAUGAUCUCCGGCGACAGGAGAUCCUGCCCUCCGGUGGAUCGGCUUCACCCUCCCCGUAUCCCCAGUCCCUUCGCCGCUUUCCCGCACACUGUCCCGACACCACUCCCACCCACGCCCACCGAUGCUGCCCCUCCCACCUCGCCCCGCCCCCGUCCCCAAAUCUGCCCCGGUGCCACUCUCCCAUGAGCCCCUCGUGGGUACCGGUCCUUCCUCCUCUCCCCGCCCAUGUCCCCAAAUCCUCCCCGGCGCCACUCCCCGAGGAGCCCUGGUGGGUCGCUGCCCGACACCUUUUUUGCUUCGAAUUCAAUCGUGGGUUCACCUGGGUGUGCCUCUUUCUCCAUGGGUUUUGAGUUCUGGGCGAGGAUUGUGACCGUGAGGAUGCAGACGACGUCGCGGUGCACCCGACCGAGGACGAGCUCGUGUGUGGUGUGCCACGGCCAAGGGGUGCAGAUUGUGAAAUCUUGCUGCCAUCUAGGUGAAAUGUCUGUGCAAGUAUUGUCCAGCAGUUUGAGAUCUCGGUCAAUGUGGAGGUGCCCUGCCACGACAUGAUGUUAGAUGCAGCAACUACGACUAUGGUUGCGUCUGUGGCUGGCAAAAAAAGGCGGCCGAGACAUCCUUGGUGUAAAGUUUACAUGGUAAUCAUGAGCUGAUUUUCUAAUGUGCGUGAUGUCACACCGGAGAAUGUUGGCGGUCUUGAUUUGUUGAAGAAACAAAUUGACUGGUGCAUUCUUCAUUGUAUAAAGCACCCCAAUGUUUACAAGGUAAUCACAUAAGUUGUGUUAUGCGCCACGUUCUUCUGUUUGUUGUGUUAUCUGGUCAUCACAGUGAUUGGUAGUUUAAAAGUUUAAGUGACCUCUGAAUUCGUCCUAAAGGUGGUCUAUAGACAUUUGUGCUUCUUAUAUGCAUUUUAUAAGUUGUAGCAGGGCACCUGAUUGCUUAAAAUACUAAGUAUUCAUAAUUGUUUUCAUGCUCCCCUUUUGCUGUCUGCCUUUGAAGGAUUUGAGUGAGCUUGCAAGUUGGUUUCUGCUGUUUGGACCUUCAGGCUAUGGGAAGACACAAAUGGCAAUUGGUUUUGAGAUUUUCAUAUUAUUAAUGCUAGAUUUCUUUUGUGUAUAGAAUGUUGAGAUGUUACCUUUUCCUGAGCUGUUGAACAAGUAUAUUGGGGAUAGUGAAUCAGGAGCACACUGGCGGAUCAGGAACGAGUGGUGCUGGAUGGACGAGAACUACGCUUCAAUUGCUUCAGAAGCACACUGGCGAGGAUCAUUACUACUUAGAGAUGCAGUUGUCGCCAAGAGUUUAGUAAUUAUUGGAGGCGUGAUUAAGAAGCUACAUGGUAUACUGAGGUUUUGCUUUUCUAACACUGUUGCACACUUUGCAUUUUAUUGCUUGUUGUAUAUUAAAAUGAGUACAACCCAGAUUUAUUGAUAUGUCUCGUUAAAAAUGAAUUGUUCGUUAAAACACACACACACACACACACACACACACACACACAAGUGGAGCUCCUUCAAAUGUACUGUACUUGAUAGUGUUCCCAAGUUAUGUUAGAGUAAGGGCGGAUCAAGAGAUAUGCCAAUUUGUCUUCUUGAAGUGAGAUGGUGGUUUAGGAGACACCAUGACCGCCAGGAGAAAAUAUGCAAGGAAGAGAAAGUAUUUGAGUUUAUUUUAUUAUAGUGUUAGAACUUGUCUCCUCAUAACACAGAGGUCAGCCCAGCUUUUUCAUAAAACAGAGUUUUGUAUCAGCAACAAAUGGUUGAACUGUUGGAGGUAUAGUGAAAGUGAUUGCAAGUUCACAUAAUAACAUGUAUAUAAGUUUUGUCCUUUAUCUCCAUAUAUAUUCUUUAUUGUGGCCUGGCGACCGACUCGGCAUCCCUGUCGCCAUUGCUACAGCAUGGCUCCUCCCAGUUUGAGAGAUUCACGUGGUGAUCACUGAUACACAGCUGCAGCCGGAGGUGCUGUCCAUAGGUGAAGCAUCAACCUGCCAUUCGUGAGCCGUUAGGAGCUGCUGCGUCGCACUGCCAGAGUGAUCGCCGCCGUUGUUUGUCGGAGCAGAGCCAUGCAUGUCAUGCGCGUCUCGCUGGAGUAAAGCCAUGGCUGUAGUCAAACACACCUGACUACGGUGCUAUGAGGAAUGAAGGACAACCUGGACGUUGGAUGUCAGGGCAGGGUUGAGGUAGAGGAACUUGAAUGUAUCUUCGAGCAGGACGGCGGUCAGUCGGUUCGGCCUGGGUACUGAGUGUCGACCCUCUCGUGUGCAACAACUGUAGGAUGAGGUAGAGCUUCAAGAUGGGGCGAUAGCAGGAUGUUGCGGAGCUUGGUGAGAUCGAGGCCAUGUUGUGGAGGCAGGCCGGACGGCUACAGGACAGACUGGACCAGAGGUACGGCGAGGGUAGCAUGGCCUGGUUUUGCGAGAUGUUUGGCUCAAAUGAAGGCCAAUUAGUAGUGCAAAAAAUAAAUGAAUACUCCCUCCGUCCCAAAAUUCUUGUCUUAGAUUAGUCUAGA